AGUGAACGCUGGCGGUAGGCCUAACACAUGCAAGUCGAACGGCAGCACAGUAAGAGCUUGCUCUUACGGGUGGCGAGUGGCGGACGGGUGAGGAAUACAUCGGAAUCUACUUUUUCGUGGGGGAUAACGUAGGGAAACUUACGCUAAUACCGCAUACGACCUACGGGUGAAAGCAGGGAAUCUUCGGACCUUGCGCGAUUGAAUGAGCCGAUGUCGGAUUAGCUAGUUGGCGGGGUAAAGGCCCACCAAGGCGACGAUCCGUAGCUGGUCUGAGAGGAUGAUCAGCCACACUGGAACUGAGACACGGUCCAGACUCCUACGGGAGGCAGCAGUGGGGAAUAUUGGACAAUGGGCGCAAGCCUGAUCCAGCCAUACCGCGUGGGUGAAGAAGGCCUUCGGGUUGUAAAGCCCUUUUGUUGGGAAAGAAAAGCAGCAGGUUAAUACCCCGCUGUUCUGACGGUACCCAAAGAAGAAGCACCGGCUAACUUCGUG
rnacentral:rRNA from 1 species